UACGUAGGGUGCGAGCGUUGUCCGGAAUUAUUGGGCGUAAAGAGCUCGUAGGCGGUCUGUCGCGUCUGCUGUGAAAUCCCGAGGCUCAACCUCGGGCUUGCAGUGGGUACGGGCAGGCUAGAGUGCGGUAGGGGAGAAUGGAACUCCUGGUGUAGCGGUGGAAUGCGCAGAUAUCAGGAAGAACACCGAUGGCGAAGGCAGGUCUCUGGGCUGACACUGACGCUCAUGCACGAAAGCGUGGGGAGCAAACAGG
rnacentral:rRNA from 1 species